rnacentral:rRNA from 1 species
AUUGAACGCUGGCGGCAUGCCUUACACAUGCAAGUCGAACGGUAACAGGUCUUCGGAUGCUGACGAGUGGCGAACGGGUGAGUAAUACAUCGGAACGUGCCCGAUCGUGGGGGAUAACGAAGCGAAAGCUUUGCUAAUACCGCAUACGAUCUACGGAUGAAAGCAGGGGACCGCAAGGCCUUGCGCGAACGGAGCGGCCGAUGGCAGAUUAGGUAGUUGGUGGGAUAAAAGCUUACCAAGCCGACGAUCUGUAGCUGGUCUGAGAGGACGACCAGCCACACUGGGACUGAGACACGGCCCAUACGCCUACGGGAGGCGUCAGUGGGGAAUUUUGGACAAUGGGCGAAAGCCUGCUCCAGCCAUGCCGCGUGCAGGAUGAAGGCCUUCGGGUUGUAAACUGCUUUUGUACGGAACGAAAAGACUCUGGUUAAUACCUGGGGUCCAUGACGGUACCGUAAGAAUAAGCACCGGCUAACUACGUGCCAGCAGCCGCCGUAACAC